UAGGGAAUCUUCCGCAAUGGGCGAAAGCCUGACGGAGCAACGCCGCGUGAGUGAUGAAGGUCUUCGGAUCGUAAAACUCUGUUAUUAGGGAAGAACGAAUGUGUAAGUAACUAUGCACGUCUUGACGGUACCUAAUCAGAAAGCCACGGCUAACUACGUGCCAGCAGCCGCGGUAAUACGUAGGUGGCAAGCGUUAUCCGGAAUUAUUGGGCGUAAAGCGCGCGUAGGCGGUUUUUUAAGUCUGAUGUGAAAGCCCACGGCUCAACCGUGGAGGGUCAUUGGAAACUGGAAAACUUGAGUGCAGAAGAGGAAAGUGGAAUUCCAUGUGUAGCGGUGAAAUGCGCAGAGAUAUGGAGGAACACCAGUGGCGAAGGCGACUUUCUGGUCUGUAACUGACGCUGAUGUGCGAAAGCGGGGGGAUCAAACAGG
rnacentral:rRNA from 1 species